rnacentral:tRNA from 2 species
CAUCAAGAAGCUAAAAUUCAGCAUUAACCUUUUAAGUUAAAGAUUGGGAACUUAAAUCUCCCCUUGAUGA